AGGCCACUUGCAUGAGCAGGUUUUGCUGUUUGCUUACGUUGUAGCAGAGAUAACUAAUUCACCUAGUGGUGUUCUCUGCAGCUAAAUGCAUCAACAAAAACUCUCAAUAUCUUUCUCUAUUUGCCCCUCUAAGAUGUUCUCCAGUGAUUUCUUGAUUACUACUUCUAGCAAUGUUGAUUUUAACUUUCAAGAAGGCAUAUGCAUCUCUGCAUAUUAGCCACUUCUCUCAAAAAGCUUCAAGAAAGUCAUCCUUAACAAGUUUAUAUAUGCAUUACUACCAGUUUCUGGCAAGGGUCACAACAAUCUGACUCAACAAGGACUUAAUUGGUUUAAAAACUUGUGAGCAGUGUUUUAGUUUGAUACCUCAGUGAUGAUUAUAGUACAUUCAUUUUCUCAUAUGUCCAUGGAAAAUCUUGUUUACUCAGUUGAUCACUGGAUACAAUUUAAUUGGUGAUGAGCUCCUUGUCACCUUAGAGUUUAUCGGAAAUCAUUACAAAAAACCAAGAGGAAAGGUAAGCUUCCGGAUGGCAUCAAUUACUGUAUUGCUGGAGGGAAUGCAGGAAGAGUUGCCAUUUCUAAUGGCUCUUUGUGUUGCUUAUUGGAAAAUGAAGAUUGUGUCGAGAAGCGAUAAGAGUACAGUCCAGAAAUCCUCGGCUUGUCUUACCAUGUGCUUUGUCACAACAUUCUGCACUGAUCUGACAAGAAAUUCAUGAAAAGGGGUUGGAUAAACCCAAACCGCACUGUUUAUUCUCAAUCAAGAUUUAAUCUGCUGAAAAGAAUUCCUCCAGAAAACGAUGUGAUGGACAGGAUUUAUAAAUAUUUUUAGAAAAACAGCUUUUAAUUAGCUCAAGCCUGUUUUAACAUGCUUUGGACCCAAACAUAGGUCAUGGGCCAAGUCAUUGGGCACACACUAGCACUCGUGAGCGUAGUCACAUGUUUGAGCCCAAUGAUCCAUAGACUCGAUGUUAUUUUUAUUCUCAACAUACAUGUAAUGUUAUUUUUACACGACAUUCAUUUUAUAUUAAGAAUAAAAACAAAUAAUUUUAUUUUUAGAACUU
rnacentral:lncRNA from 1 species